rnacentral:rRNA from 1 species
UACAGAGGGUGCAAGCGUUAAUCGGAAUUACUGGGCGUAAAGCGUGCGCAGUCGGUUAUUUAAGUCGGAUGUGAAAUCCCCGGGCUCAACCUGGGAAUUGCAUUCGAUACUGGAUGGCUAGAGUUCGGCAGAGGGAAGUGGAAUUCAGGUGUAGCGGUGAAAUGCGUAGAUAUCUGAAGGAACAUCAGUGGCGAAAGCGACUUCCUGGACCAGAACUGACGAUCAGGCACGAAAGCGUGGGGAGCGAACAGG